CGGGGGCAACCCUGGUGGCGAGUGGCGAACGGGUGAGUAAUACAUCGGAACGUGCCCAGUCGUGGGGGAUAACGCAGCGAAAGCUGUGCUAAUACCGCAUACGAUCUACGGAUGAAAGCGGGGGAUCGCAAGACCUCGCGCGAUUGGAGCGGCCGAUGGCAGAUUAGGUAGUUGGUGGGGUAAAGGCUCACCAAGCCAUCGAUCUGUAGCUGGUCUGAGAGGACGACCAGCCACACUGGGACUGAGACACGGCCCAGACUCCUACGGGAGGCAGCAGUGGGGAAUUUUGGACAAUGGGCGCAAGCCUGAUCCAGCCAUUCCGCGUGCAGGAUGAAGGCCUUCGGG
rnacentral:rRNA from 1 species